AGACGAACCGGACAAACGUUAUUCGGAAUUAUUGGGUUUAAAGGGUGCGUAGGCGGCACGAUAAGUUGGGUGUGAAAUCCCUUGGCUCAACCAAGGAACUGCGCCCAAUACUGUCGUGCUUGAGGGAGACAGAGGCGAGCGGAACUGAUGGUGGAGCGGUGAAAUGCGUUGAUAUCAUCAGGAACACCAGUGGCGAAAGCGGCUCGCUGGGUCUCUUCUGACGCUGAGGCACGAAAGCUAGGGUAGCGAACAGGAUUAGAUACCCCAGUAGUCC
rnacentral:rRNA from 1 species